rnacentral:rRNA from 1 species
UAUCAUUAAAAAAAUAUUAUUUUUUUUUUUAAUGUAAUAGGCUUAGUUGUACUAAUCUUAAGAUUUUUAGACAUAAAUGACUAAUUUAUAAAAAACUAAAUAUAAUAUAUAUCGAAAA